ensembl:lincRNA
UUUCUUUUAUAGCCUCAGGCAAUUUGAUGUUGUUGUUAUUCAUCUAACUAAUGGAGAGCAAUGACCAAAAGGACAUGUGUUAUAGUUAAAUUUUAGCAAAUGUGUACUAAUGUUGAUUACAGCAGGAGGGUCAAAAAAAAAAAACAACAAAAAAACACACAGACCAGCCCAGGCCUAUGCUUGUCACAAGGAAAACAAACAAAAGUCUGUAAAUCAAAAGGCUUGGUUUGAUUUCCUAACCUUAUAUCAUUUGGGGCACUCUAAGAGUCCAUAAAAGAUUUUUACAGACUGCUAAAAAUGUCCUCCAAAUGUUCAUCUUAAGUUAGUAAUAUAGGUGAGAGUAUUGCUUGUCACCUACUUUGAAUAAAUCAAUGCAGACCUUACCCAGGAAAAAGUUUAGAACUUUCUCCUCAAGCUUAAAAACAGUACUGAUUGCCAGGCAAGGUGGCUCAAGCCUGUAAUCCCAGCACUUUGGGAGGCCGAGGUGGGCGAAUCACCUGAGGUCAGGAGUUUGAGAGCAGCCUGACCAACAUGGUGAAACCCCGUCUCUACUAAAAAUACAAAAAUUAGCCAGGCGUGGAGGUGUGCAAUCCCAGCUACUCGGAAGGCUGAGGCAGGAGAAUCGCUUGAACACGGGAGGCAGAGGUUGCAGUGAGCCGAGAUCGCGCCACUGCACUCCAGCCUGGGUGACAGACUGACUCUGUCUCAAAAAAAUGAAAACAAAAACAAGAGAAACACAGUACUCAUGAAAGCAGCGUUUGACAAUCAGCAGUGUCCGGCUUCCCAGGAUAAGGAAGAUCUGGUGGCGAAAAGGACUUCGGAAGAGCGCGCCUCCGGUGCUAAUCAGCAGAGCGGGGAGAUCAAGAAACCCAGACCUGCACUCUUCCAGGCCCUCUUUCUAGGGCGGCAGAGCCUGGCUGGUGGGGUGGCUGUCAGCUGUCUCCGUGGGAAGACCUUCCAGCCUGGCCAUCAGGGUCUCGUCCCCCGAGGAGAGGGAACAGGUUUCACAUCCUUCCAGCGAUAGCCUGUAAUGAGUGGGCACAUGACAGAUGCCUGUUCAGUGUAUGUGUGUGCAUUUUCUCACUUCUUUAUUGCCCAGAAAGUAGCGCA